rnacentral:rRNA from 1 species
GAUGAACGCUAGCGGCAGGCCCAAUACAUGCAAGUCGAACGGUAACAUGAGUAGCAAUACUUGAUGACGAGUGGCGCACGGGUGCGGAACGCGUAUGCAAUCUACCUUUAACUGGUGAAUAGCCCGAAGAAAUUCGGAUUAAUACACCAUAGUAUAGUUGAAUGGAAUCAUUUAACUAUUAAAACUCCGGUGGUUAAAGAUGAGCAUGCGUGACAUUAGCUAGUUGGUGUGGUAAUGGCUCACCAAGGCUACGAUGUCUAGGGGAUCUGAGAGGAUUAACCCCCACACUGGUACUGAGACACGGACCAGACUCCUACGGGAGGCAGCAGUAAGGAAUAUUGGACAAUGGUCGCAAGACUGAUCCAGCCAUGCCGCGUGAAGGAUGACGGCCCUAUGGGUUGUAAACUUCUUUUGUAUGGGAAAAAACCUCUUUACGUGUAGAGAGCUGAUUGUACCAUAAGAAUAAGGAUCGGCUAACUCCGUGCCAGCAGCCGCCGCAGUAA